UAUCUAAAACUUCUUUAGAUUUUUAUUAAGUGGGUGAGUUAUCAUGUAUCAAUAGGGCGACAUGCAUUUUAACUAAGGAAACAAGUAGCAGCUUUAUUCCUAUUCAUUGGGAGUCUAAUUUCUCCUCAAAUCUGACCACAUAUUUUCAUCAACUCAGAUCCCUUCAAUGAAAUCCAGGAACCCUUAUUUCUCAUAAAUUGAUUAACUCAAAACCCUAAACUUAAACUUCAAAAUCAAAUCCUAAAGUCGACUUCCAUGGCGACCAAUUUCAAUCAAGAGUAAUCCUUAGGACUCCUGGGGGCCGAAAGAAAGAUUAAGAGAUGGGGUUGUGGAAUUGAGGAACUGAUGCAUGACACAAUAUUUGAAAGAUUGUGGUGUUGUACACUCUUUGCCUGAUGUUCUGAAGAUGGGUUGAGCUUCUGCUGGUUCCCUUCCCUUUUUCCUCCCUGUGGUUUUAUCACUUCGUCUCUUCUUUUGGUUUGAGUUUGAAUUAUAAUUUUAUUUCUUUUUUGUGUAGCCUGUGUUCUUCUAUUUAUAAGUUUAAUCUUAAAAGUGAGAACCCUUUUAAACAUCUGCUUUGCAUUUUUUUUUUUGUUUUUUUGCCUCCAAAUAUGUGUGUCCAAAUGAAGAUUUCAACCUCAACUCCCAACCCUAAGCUCCUCUGAUCAAUCUAAGCCCCCAAGUAAGUUCGUUUAAACUAGUUUUUUAUCCCCAUCUCUAUUCUGUUAGCGUUUCUCAAUCUUUCUUUCUCUUGUGAUAUUCCUUGUAAGUGUUGUAUUAUAAAGCACACCUUCAAAGUUUUAGUUGUUCUUCAUUUUUGUAAGUGUUGUCUUAAAAAGCACACCUUCUAGGUUACAAUUAUAAAAGGCACCAUACUUCAAAAGAUAUCUCUUGUAAGUGUUGUGAUAUAAAGCACACCUUCUUAUAAUUUUUUGUUUUUC